rnacentral:rRNA from 1 species
GAAAGUUGAAAAGAACUCUGAAGAGAGAGUUAAAGAGUACGUGAAAUUGGUAAGGUGGAAACGAAUAGAGUUGACGUAUCUGGCAUGCAUUCAGCCGAUGCGUAGCGUUUCUCGUAUGGCAUGCCGCGGUUCCCGGAUCGUUGUGUAUGGCAUGCGUGGAGCGGUGCGUAUCGGUGCACUUGCAUGUUGUAUGCGCUGGAGCGCAUGCGUUGGUCGUUCGAUCCUUGGGUAAGAGGAUGCGCGCUUCGGCGUGUAAACCCGGACCCUUGUGUGUUGGGCGGUUCGGCGUAUGCGUGUGGACGUGCGGCUAUGACGUCCGUGACUAUUAUCAUUUCUGAUGCAAAUGGCGGUCGCUUGCGACACGUGUUUGUCUUGGUUUUGAUGAUUGGCGCGGUACCCUUCACGUCCACUCCGGUGUAAAAGUCGAUCAUCUAUUCGACCCGUCUUGAAACACGGACCAAGGAGUUUAACGUAUGCGCGAGUAAAUGGAUGUUUGAAAUCUAUUGGCGUAAUGAAAGUAAAAGUGCUCUUGAAGUACUCGAUAUGUGAUCCGCAGCACUACGGUGUUGACGGCGCAGCAUAGCCCCGUUCCCAUUGCUUGCGAUGGAGCGGAGGUAGAGCGUAUGCGUUGAGACCCGAAAGAUGGUGAACUAUGCCUGAGCAGGACGAAGUCAGAGGAAACUCUGAUGGAAGUCCGAAACAGUUCUGACGUGCAAAUCGAUUGUCUGACUUGGGUAUAGGGGCGAAAGACUAAUCGAACUAUCUAG